rnacentral:rRNA from 1 species
UCGGGAAUUUUGCGCAAUGGACGAAAGUCUGACGCAGCAACGCCGCGUGAGGGAUGAAGGCCUUCGGGUUGUAAACCUCUUUUAUCAGGGAAGAUAAUGACGGUACCUGAUGAAUAAGUCACGGCUAACUACGUGCCAGCAGCCGCGGUAAUACGUAGGUGACAAGCGUUGUCCGGAUUUACUGGGCGUAAAGAGCGCGCAGGCGGUCGUUCAAGUCGAGUGUGAAAGCCCCCGGCUCAACUGGGGAGGGUCAUUCGAUACUGAUCGACUCGAAGGCAGGAGAGGGUAGUGGAAUUCCCGGUGUAGUGGUGAAAUGCGUAGAUAUCGGGAGGAACACCAGUGGCGAAGGCGACUACCUGGCCUGUUCUUGACGCUGAGGCGCGAAAGCUAGGGGAGCAAACGGGAUUAGAUACCCCCGUAGUCC